UACGUAGGGUGCAAGCGUUAUCCGGAUUCACUGGGCUUAAAGGGCGUGUAGGCGGCUUUGUAAGUCUGGUGUGAAAUCUCCGAGCUCAACUCGGAAACUGCCUUGGAUACUAUUAGUCUUGAAUUAUGUUGAGGUUGGCGGAAUAUAACAUGUAGCGGUGAAAUGCAUAGAUAUGUUAUAGAACACCGAUUGCGAAGGCAGCUAACUAAGCAUAUAUUGACGCUGAGGCACGAAAGCGUGGGGAUCAAACAGG
rnacentral:rRNA from 1 species